CGGGUCUCUUCAGUCUCUUGGUGAUAUUAGGGAACUUGUCCAAGAACUUUGGCUCAACUACAAGCCAGAAAUCUGGUUCCAUGUUGCGCUCUUCAUAGAGGCGACGACGUUCAAACAUUUGCUCCUGGAAAUGCUCCUCUUCGUCCAGCAUAAAUUUGGCAUUUGCAACAAGAAAAUGGUACUUCUUACUUUCCGUCUCUUGCUGUAUAUGCAACAGAAUACCCGCAUCAACAUUCCUAACAUUGAACUAAAGCAAAAUGGCGCCAAAUAGGGAGUUACCGAAAAUUUGUCUUUUUCCUUUCCAAUGAAAGGACCUGUCACAGAUGACCAACAUAUACAUUCAUAGGCGAGUGAGAGUAGGACUAAUAAAAGAACAUGAACUACAUACCCUGAUCCUCUAAGAGAUGGUAGUUGGAACUUCAGACUAUUCCUCAAAACCGUCACUUUGACCUCCUCAAGGAACUAAUUUUCAUAUUGCUAAAUGAAAAAUGAACUAAGUUUUGAUCAGAGAAGAACUAGUGCAAUCACUCAAUCAACACAAUCAGCCACAGGUUAAACCCAAAUCAGUCAGGAUUUGCUAUAUGAAUCCUAUAUAACAUUCUGCUCUAAGUUUUAUUGCAUACAAUACUACCUAAUUUGCUUAUAAAGGCAAAUUUACAGGCUUUGCCAAUCUCUCACUUAUCCCAACACCACAUAGGUAGAAGUAAAAUUUGUGUACACUCACUCUCCCACGACUCCACUUGAGGGAUCUCACCGAGUAUGUUAUUGUUGAACUUAGAGAGCUCAACUAAGUAACACUCUUUUAUAAAAAAAAGUCUUGAGAGUUUCCUUGUCUUAUGAACUUUUCUGGGCUCUGAACCAUAUUUCGACUUUGUGAUAAAUCCAUAGAUAACGAUAGAAAAUAAACAGGCACUCGAAAACAGGUACAUGUUCGAGAAUCAUUAAACAACACUUAGUGGUUAGAGAUAAAAACCAACAACAAUAACACACUUCAGAUUUUUCAUAAUGCUUUUUCAUGCUAAGUACAAUGCUCAAUAUUCUUCAUUUUGUUUUCUGAAUCUCGCAACAGGGGUUUAUAAGCUACAGAAAUUAGGCGUUUCGUCGUACAAUUCUUCAGAUGAGCUACAAACAUCUUCACCUACAGCCUACAAUGGCGAUUGCCCGACCAUCUCUUCAUAUAACUUCUCAAACUAAAUGCUCAUUCAUUGGCGAUUGCCCGACCAACAAACAAUAAUGUAGAUUUUGAACUACUUCAAGCAACACAGAUGAUGGCAUGGCAGAAAUACGUAAGACGCCUGCUAAUCAUACCUUUGAAGUCUGAGAUCCAGGGGGCAAGAAUGAGUCCCACCACCCGGAUUCAUACUUCGGGUAUGGUGCUGUCCAUUUUUCCGGUUUUUCAAAUUCAAUACUAACAGGAGUACAUGCCAAAGCUUCUUCUACACUGUCAGCCUCGUAGCUCUCUUGUAAAACCCUGUCUAGCCUCAAUUUCAUGAACCUGCAAGUUUCAAAAAGUAGAUCAGGAGAAAUAUAGAAAAUGUGCAACUUCACCCUUUUGUGAUACGAAAUAUCUUAAAUUUACCAUCCGUUAUACUUUGGGGUCAUUCAUACCCUUGCCUCUAGCAAAUCUUCUCGUAAUUGCCCUUGUCUUUGCGGUGGACGGGGUGAUUCCACAUAUCAAAAAUACAUUGGGGAGAAGACCCAAUUUUACCCCUCUAGUUUUUUAUGGUUUAAAUUUACUCACCGUUAUACUUCAGGUUGGAGUUUCAUCAGGGCCAAGGGCAAGGGCAAGUACGAGAUGAUUUGAUGACGUUGAAGAUACAAAUGACUCUAAACUAUACCAAAUGGUAAAAUUAAGAUAACUCGUAUAGUAUAGGGGUAUAUUUGACCAUUUUCCCGUGAUUAUAACUUGCUUAUUAAAGACUGCAAUCUUUUGAUGAUGCAUAGGAGUAAUUAGUGUCUCGAUUAUUUAACAAUGACAGCCCCUUACGUGAUCCAUGGGCCAUUCGUUGAAACAAGUGCUACAGCGGGUCUCUUCAGUCUCUUGGUGAUAUUAGGGAACUUGUCCAAGAACUUUGGCUCAACUACAAGCCAGAAAUCUGGUUCCAUGCUGCGCUCUUCAUAGAGGCGACGGCGUUCAAACAUUUGCUCCUGGAAAUGCUCCUCUUCGUCCAGCAUAAAUUUGGCAUUUGCAACAAGAAAAUGGUACUUCUUCCUUUCUGUCUCUUGCUG
rnacentral:lncRNA from 1 species